CCGGCUCUCGCUCCGUGAUGCCGGCGACCAACGGCCGCCGCGUAUUCGCCUCUCAACAGCCAAUCGCCGGCGGGGCCGCGACACCUCACACACCGCUGAGCUGGAAGGAGACGCGUCACCCACGUUCGGCGGCGCUCCUACCCCCACUAGCCUCCGCGCCAGCCACGCCCCCUCUACGUCACUGGCGGAGAAACUGGAGGGAGGGGGCACAAAGCCCGAGAGCCCGCGGCCACCGCUCCGCCCGCCUCCUGGCCCCGCUCACCUCCAGGCCCCGCCCAGGCAUGGCUCUUGUUCGGGAAGUCGUAGAGAAAUCCCGUGACCCUAAACCUGCUUCCUCAUAACGGCCCGCCCCCUCGCCAGCACCUCCCAGUUCGCGCAAGGCCCCUUGGGAGUUGUAGUUUGAUUUCCAGAGCAUUCUCUUCGCUUUCCCUGUCCCUACAAGUAUCCACGGCUUCCAUGGAGAGGUCUACAAUUUCGCUUCUCAACGCGAGACUAACUAGCUUUGGAAUUGUUACACUUAGUUUUCCAGUUUUCAGCACAGUUCGUGAGAUGACUUAGGCUGACGGGAAAAAAGCGAAAGCCCUACUAAUAAAAUUUAAAAGGCGUUUUCCGGGUGUCAAUGGGCUGGGCCAUCGAGGUAGGCGCUGAUUGGCAGGCGGUAGGGGGCGUGUCAAGGUUCGCUCUCACCUGAUUGGAUCGGGGGAAGGCCGUUCCCCUCUUCUCUGUCUCUGCAGGAAUUUCCCGUCCCACCAGAUUCUGCUGCUGGGGCCUGCUCGGGUUCUGCUGUGUGGUUCUAGUGCUUUGGGUCCGCUGUAUGGAGGCUGGAAGGAAAACUGUGGGCCCGCUCGGGAAGCGAGCUCCAAGUCACGGGGCACACCUAAGGCGGGGAAGACUGUCAGGUGCACUCACCGUGCUAAGGUCUGGGGCAAAAAAGUAACCACUUCUCCGCCCUUAGUAACCAGCUGCGUGCCCACCCCAGAUUUUCAUGCCGCUGAAGCCCCUGAAAGGUCAGAAGCUAGUUUAGGGACCCUCUGCCUGAAACACCAGAAUGCUUGACCGCUUCUCUUCUCAUGCGCCUCUUGCACGUGGCUUUCUGAUCUUGGAAGGCAAGACUGUGGACGAAGAGGCACUGGCUUCAGCUUAGGGGGCGAUGCUUCUGCUGACUGUUCGCAGCCAAGGACCAAGUGCAGCAGGGACACUAAGACAGGCUCAUAUCUGGGAGACGCGGGAAUCUUCUGAUGGCCACUUUGGCUCAAGAACUCCCCAACAGCCUUGCUGAGCCUUUCUUAGACUACAUGGCAAUCUAGGAUGCUUCCACCCAACCUUCCUUCUCUCUUGCCCUACCUGAGGGAUUUGCCACAGCCAGUCAGCCUCCUCUUCUUUCUCUGAACACCCUGUCCUUGGACUGGAAGAUGGGAAGUGGCCUUGCAAUGCUGAUAACUGGGAGUCCUGGUGGCGAAGUGGUUCUCAGCUGCUAACUGAAAGACUGGCAGUUUGAACCCACCAGCCACUCUGUGGCAGAAAGAUGUGGCAAUCUGCUUCCAUAACGAUUUACAGCCUUGGAAACCCUAUGGGGGAUGUUCUACUCUGUGCUAUAGGGUCGCUAUGAGUUGGAAUCGACUCGACAGUGGCAAUGGGGGAGACUUCAACUUGUUUGGAUGCUAAGAAGAAGGAACCAGUAUUUUAAGAGAAUGAACAAGAAUUUCUGGUCCUAAGAAAGCAAGACCUCGGAGGAUAUUUCUCAAAUGCUUCGAAAGCCUGUGCCAGAGACCUAGGAAGCAUGGUUAGUCCCCUCAAGUACCGAGCUGGACUGUAUAAAUGGAGUCUCUUUUCAAGUAUCUUGGAAGAUUCAAAGGUCUUUUUGACUUUGAAGGUGAGCUCAAGCCUCUGAUCCUGACAGAUGAGGUUCAUCUGCAGCCUUCAAGGGCAUCCACACCUAACAAAUCCAGGCGGCAUCUGUCUUAUUUUGGGAUAUUUCCCCAGCACGAAUGGAAGGAAGUGAAAAAAGGCAGAGCCUUCAAGCAGGGCUCCAGACUGGUCUUCAACAACAAGAGGUACAAGAGCCCACCUUGCCUAUCUCUGGUCCAGCUUCUUCGAGGGAAAUCAAACAAUAAGACCAUUCCAUUACCAUCGUUGUAAAGAUGGCAGCUAUUCAUUUUAAAUGCCAAGUAGUCAGUAUUAACCAAAUGUAAAUUGAAGAGAAGGCGUAUAUUUUUCUAGGCGUCCAUUCACAUCAGAAAUAACAGAACACGUGGCGAGCAGAAUUGGAAAGUAUUUAAACAGUUUCUCACCCAAGAUGAACACACAGGUUAUCUCAUGAGGCGGAUCACAUGGCUCCGUGCUUGCAAGUAAGUGUGGCUUAAGUUUCACAAGCAUCUGCUCACAUAUUAAGCACUUAUCGACACUUUGUUCGGCGACCUUGGCCACAGGGCUCCCUGAAAUGAGAGCUGGGCUGAGGCUGGGACUGUGGACGUCACCAAAAGCUACUUGAGGCAAUGUUACUUGCACGAAAAAUCCACUUCUACCAAUCUCAAUAAUAAUAUCAAGGACAAAGGUAAUGUUAGGAAGAGCUAACGUACAAUAGCAUCUAAAAGAAUACCUAGGAAGAAAUUUAAUCAGGGAGGUGAGAGACUUAUACACUGAAAACAAUAAAACUUUGCUGAAAGAAAUUAAAGAAGACUUAAAUCAAUGAAAAGAUAUUCUGUGUUCGUGGAUUGGAAGACUUAAUAUUGUUUGGAUGUCAGUACUACUCAAAUUAAUCUACAGAUUCAACACAAUCCCUAUCAAAACCCUAACAUCCUGUUUUGAAAAAAUGGAAAAGCUGAUCUUCAAAUUCAUAUGGAAUUACAAGGGGACCCAGAUAGCCAAAAUAAUCUGGAAAAAGAAAAACAAAGUAGGGGGACUCACACUUCCUGAUUUCAAAAUAUACUAUAAAGCUACAGUAAACAAAAACGUGUGAGACUUGUAUAAGAAUAGACAUAUAGACAAAGGGAAUAUAAUUGAGAAUCCAGAAAUAAACCCAUACAUCUAUGUCAACUGAGUUUUUACAAGGAUGCCAAGUCCAUUCGAUGAGGAAAGAAUGUCUUCAACAAAUGGUGGUGAGACAACUGUAUCUCCAUGUGUAAAAAAAUGAAGUUGGACCCCUACCUUGUACCUAUACGAAAAUCAACUCAAAAUGGAUUAAUGGUCUAAAUAUAAUAACGAAAACCAUAAAAAUCUUAGAAGACAUAGGGGUAAUGCUUCAAAACCUUGUUUUUGCAGAUGGUUUCUUUUUUCUUUUUUUUUAAUUUAUUUUUUACUAUUGUAGUUUAGAUGAAGGUUUACAGAACAAACCAGCUUCUUAUUAAAUAGUACACACAUUGUUUUGUGACACUGAUUACCAACCCCAUGGCAUGUCGACACUCUCCCUUCUUGACCUUGGGUUCCCUAUUACCAGCUUUCCUGUCCUCUUCCCGCCUCCAAUCCCUGCCCCUGGACCUGUGUGCCCCUUGUCUCAUUUUUUUUAUGGGCCUGUCCAAUCCUUGCCAAUGGUUUCUUAAUAUGACACCAAAAACAUGAGAAACAAAAGAAAAAAGUAGAUAAAUUUAACUUCAUCAAAAUGAAAAACUUUUGUGCAUCAAAGAACUUUAACAAGAAAGUGAAGAGACAACCUACAGAAUGGGAAAAAAUAUUUGGGAACCAUACUUUUCAUAAGGGUUUAAUAUCCAGAAUAUAAAAAGAACUCCUGUGACUCCACAACAAAAUGACAAACAGCUCAAUUUAAAAAUGGGCAAAGCAGUUGAAUAGAUAUUUCUCCAAAGAAGAUAUACACAUGCCCAAAAAGCACAUAAAAAGAUGCUCGUUAGUCAUCAGGGAAAUGCAAAUCAAAGUUAGAAUGAAAUACCACUUCAUACGCACUAGGAUGGCUAUUAUCAGAAAAGUGGAAAAUAACAAGUGUUGGCAAGGACAAGGGGAAAUGGAAACCCUCAUGCACUGCUGGCGGGAAUGUAAAAUGGUACAGCCACUGUGGAAAAUGGUUUGGCACCUUCUCAAAAAGUUAAGUAUAAAAUUGCCAAAUGACCCAGCAAUUCCAUUCCUAGGCAUACACCUAAAAAGUCUUGAAAGCAGGGACUGAAAUAGAGACUUCCACACCAGUGUUGUUUAGCGGCAUUGUUCACAAUAGCCACAAGGCCAAAACAACCCAAGCCCAUCAACAGAUGAAUGGAUAACCAAAAUGUGGUAUAUCUAAACAAUGGGAUAUUAUUCAGCCAUAAAGAGCAAUGAAGCUGUGAUAUAUGCUGUCACAUGGAUGAAACUUGGAAACAUUACACUAAUAAGUCAGAAACAAAAGGACGGAUAUUAUAUGACCCCAUUUAUAUGAAAUAUAUAGAAUAGGCAAAUGCACAGGGACAAAAGCUCAUUGUGAUGGCCAGAGCUUAGAGGAGAGGGGAAUGGGUUAUCGCUAAGGAGCACUGAUUUCUGUUUGGGGUGAUGAAAAAUUUUUAGAAGUGAAUAAUGGUGAUGGUUGUGCAAUGUGGUGAAUGUAACUAAUGUCAUUGAAUUGUACUCUAAAAAUGGUUCAAAUGGCAAAUGUUUUGUUAUAUAUAUUUUACCAAAAUAAAUUUUUUUAAAAAAAAGAGUUAACAUAUUUAAGUUCCUACCGUAGGAGAUAUUUGCAAAGAAUUUGGCACAUAUGCUCUCAUUUUCUGCUCACAGCCCUUAUUAGAUAGGUCUGAGUUCAUAGCAACCUUGAUUUACAGAUGAGGAAGCUGAAGCUUAGAGAGGGGAAAACAGGUUUCCAAGCUCGCGCACAAGCCAAGGCACAAGCCAGGCUGCCUAGCUCCUUGGAUUCUGCUGUUAACUCUUCUGAGAGGAGUCAACGCAGGAGAAAACACAACACAACAGGGUAAUUCCGAAGAAUGAGCUAAGGGAAAAAAAAGAAGUGAACCAUUAGCAAAGUGAAUGCUGGGAAAGCCACGGGCAGGAUGUGGUGACAGGCAUGAAGCAGGUCGAGGUGAGUGCUAUAGAACUAAAUCUGUUCGUAGAACAAUAGGCCUAUCAGUGUGGUAGGGGAGGCCUGUGCCUUAAAGGAGCCCUGCUGACUGGCUAUCAUUUCUCCCUGGAAGGAUCCCACCUCCCCCACAGGGCUGAACUCAGCUUUCUCCAGCAUUGGUGGGUGAAGGAAAUACCUGCUCUUCAGGUGGAACCAAGCCCCCCUCCCCCUCCCUAGUACAUUCCUAUAACCCAUACAAGAACCCACUGACUGGAUCAGGCUCUGGAUAUGACCUCAGUGUUCAGAGUGUAUUGUGAAGAGGCUGUAUUGGCUUAAAGCAGUCACAGUGGGCUGAGUACGUUUAUCUCUAAAGAACGAACACGUAUCCCGCAUAAGCAGGAAACCCUAUCAAUUUAGCAAUGUGAGAAAUGGAGAGACUUUUAGCAAAAACUAGUAUGAAUGGUGUAAGUUGUGGGAGAACAGAAACAGUGGCCUAUUUGUCUUAAUGAACUAUACUUAUUGCCAAACACAAAAAGAAGAACAAAAAGUGUUUUUGGUAUACCACAAACAAGUGUUUCCCGUUGUCGUUGAGUAGAUUCCAACCCAUAGGUAAUUAGAAAUAACCCUCGUUCAUCCAAUCUCUCCAUUACAAAGACAUCUUCUAUUUCUGUGUUCUGGGCACACCUCAUUCACAUAUGCCUCAGCCCUACUGGGGAGGCUUUGUGAGUUCUGAGGUUUCUUUCUCUCUUGCUUAGAGGAAGAGGCAUCCGGCAUGCAGAGGAGGGGUCUAUGCGCAGUUCUUCCAUUUUUCGUACUAGGCUAGGGACAGAAAAACUUUUUGGCUCACAGGACACCACUGACAUGCUGUUCUAAGCAGAAGGCCUCAUCACACUAUAGAAUUUCUGUACCCAAGCCACCUGCAGCUUUACCCAGAUCCCUUCUUCCCUUUGAGAGCUAAUACACUGAAAACCCUCAGUGCUGUCCUGCUUUGAACACAGAGAGCCAAGAAUGUACUGCCACUGCUGUGCCGGAGCUCAGUCUUAGUGGUCAUGAGAGCUGAUGGUAAAUCUCCAGAAAUUUUCUGAGCCGACUGUGAAGUCGUUGGUAUUUUGAAAUUGGCCAUAGUGGAAGUAUUUACACCAUAGAAAUUUGGAAAUACUACAAAUUGUGGCCCUUUUUUUGAGAACCAAAAAUAAGAGGCCAUGGUUCAUCACCAAACGUGUCAUGCACUUACAUAGUUUUCAGCAAACCUUGCUGAGUUUAUUGACUGAGUGCCAGACCCUGUCGUGGGUACAAGAGCUAUGGAGAUAGGUGAUGCAUGAUGCUUGGACUAAAAGAGGCCCCAUCAACUUUGACCAUUCUUAUGCCUCCUGCUGAGACAACUGAACAGACUUCGGGCGAUUCACACUUGUUAUUGAGAUAUUCUCAAGUCUCUCCCACUUGCCAUUAUCAAGUAUCCUGAGAAAGGUGUUCAUAAGCUUGUAACCAAUUCAUCUCAAAUUAACAUCUUUACUAAAUAGCAGAAAAAUCAAGUACCUGACCCUUUAGAAAUAUUUUUCUUCCACUUUUUCUUCUUCUCCUGACCCUUUUUUUCUCCGGUUCCUUGGGGGGGUUUUCAUGCCAAAGAAAAAGGAACAUAGGGUAACUCCUUUGGGUAACUUGGGGCAUUUGCUUUUGCUAGUGCCUUUGGGAGUUCUGUAAACUGGUUAAUAGGGAUUUCAAAAAUGCUAUUUAUCAUUUACCUGUUGCCAUCAAGUCAAUUCUGACUCAUAGCGACCCUUGAGAUGACACAACCUUGCUUGCUGAAAAUGAAGAAGGCUCGAAGCACUGACUGAUGAAGAUCAAAGACUACAGCCUUCAGUAUGGAUUACACCUUAACAUAAAGAAAACAAAAAUUCUCACAACUGGACCAAUAAGCAACAUCAUGAUAAACAGAAAAUAUUGAGGUUGUUAAGGAUUUCAUUUUGCUUGGAUCCACAAUCAACAUCCGUGGAGGCAGCAGUCUAGAAAUCAAACGACACAUUGCGUUGGGCAAAUCUGCUGCAAAAGUCCUCUUUAAAGUGUUAAAAAGCAACGAUGUCACUUUGAGGACUAAGGCUCACCUGACACAAGCCAUGGUAUUUUCAAUUGCCUUUUUCAUAUGCAUGCAAGAGCUGGACAAUGAAUAAGGAAGGCUGACAAAGAACUGAUACUUUUGAAUUAUGGACUACCAGAAUAAAGAACAAAUCUUAGAAGAGAUAUAGCCAGAAUGCUCCUGAGAAGUGAGGGUGGCGAGAUUUCGUCUCACAUACUUUGGACAUUUUUCUUAGUCGUCUAGUGCUGCUAUAACAGAAAUACCACAAGUGGAUGGCUUUAACAAAGAGAAUUUAUUCUCUCACAGCUAGUAGGCUACAAGUCCACGUUCAGGGCAUCAGCUCCAGGGGAAGGCUUUCUCUCCCUGUUGGCUUUGGAAGAAUGUCCUUGUCAUCAAUUUUCCCUUGGUCUGGGAGCAACUCAGUGCAGGAACCUCAGGUCCUGUGUUCCUCGCGCUGCUUCUUUCUUGGUGGUAUGAGGUCCCCUUGUCUCCGCUCGCUUCUCUCUUUUAUAUCUCAAAAGAGACUAGCUUAAGACACUAUCUAAUUUUAUAGAUCUUACCAAUAUAACUGCCACUAAUCCAUCUCAUUAACAUCAUAGUGAUAGGAUUUAAAAUACAGAGGGAAAUCACAUCAGAUGACAAAAUGGUAGCUGAUCAUGCAGUACUGGGAAUCAUGACCUGGCCAAGGUGACACAUAUUUUGGGGGGAUACAAUUCAAUCCAUGACAGACAUGUUACAGGAAGGACCAGUCCCUGGAGAAGGACAUCAUACAUGCUCAGCUAAAAAGAGGUAGGGCCUCAUCGAGAUGGAUUGACACAGUGACUGCAACAGUGGGCUCAAACGUAGCAACAAUUGUGAGGAUGGCACUAUAAGUUGGAACAGACUCGAAGGCACAGAACAACAACAUUUAUCGUUUAUGUUUUAAUCGUGUACCACAAAUGGGUUUCUCACUAGUUUGCCCUUCCCCUCUGGUUUUAAUUACAUAGCUCGGUGUUCAGCAUAAAAAAUGCAAAAGAGAAAAAAAGACUAUGUUAUAUGACCCUAAUGCUUCUGUUGGCCGGAGCUGGAGUUAACCUCCUGGUUCUGCCACUCAUCUGCUAAAUAACCCCGAGCUAUAUAAAAACAGAAAAAAAAAAAGAAAGAAAUCUUUUCUUUUUUUAUAGCUUUCCUAAUCAGUGUGUAACAGGAUGACCUUUCCACCCACAGGGGCAUUUAAAGGAUUAACUGUGGGCCACUACGAUACUUAGAAAAGAUAAAAGCAGUUGGUUACUAUUAAUCCAAGCUGGGCUAGUCCCAUAGACAGGCUCUGCAUUGUCUAGGUUAUUAAAAGCCUUGGGUCCCUUACCCCCCACAAGAGCCAUAAUCUGAUUAAAAGAACCUAAAACCAUGACUGCUCAGAAUUUCUGUUGAGGAAAAAGAGUCAGUGCUGUGGUUGCUCACAGGAAAUGACGCAGGAUCGGGUAACAGCCUGAAAGACCUGGGUUAUGGGUGAACAUGACUCCGGACAUUCUCUUAGAGGAGCAUGGAAAUGGAAAACAAGUGUCAGCACCGAAUAUUCCCCUCUAUUUAUUUCUCCUUCUUUUGGGCUUCAGUUCUUUAUCUUUGCUGAUCCUUGUAGAUACUUGCAUUUUUAAGCCUCCUCUUUUUUUUAUAAAGGUUCCGAGCAUUUUUGGAACACUUACUCUGUGAUACAUUCCUAAAACCAAAACCAAACCCAUUGCCAUCAAAACGAUUCUGACCCAGAAUAGAACUGCCCCAUAGGGUUUCCAGGGCUGUAAGUCUUUAUGAAAAAAAAAAAAAGCACACUGUCAAAUCUCUCUCCUACGGAGCGGCCGAUGGAUUUGAACCGCCAGUCUUUCAGAUAGCAGUCAGGCAUUUCAACCAUUGUGUCUCCAGGGCUCCUCCUGUGAUGCAUGCUGGGGAUAUUUUGGAGAACAAGUUGCUGUUCCUUCCCCCAAAGAAGUAUGUCUUAGUUUCCCAGUACUGCUGUAACAGAAACAAGUGUGUGGCUUUAAAGGAUAGGUAUUUAUUUUCUCACAGUUUAGGAGGCUUCAAGUCCAAAUUCAGAGCGUGGAUCUAGGGGGAGGGCCUCUCUUUUCUACUUCAGCUUCUAACCUGUUGCCAAUGGUCAACUCAUAGUGACCCUAUAGGACAGGGUAGAACUAACUGCCCCAUAGGAUUUCCUAGGCUGUGAUCCUUAUUAGAAGCAGAUUGCCACACCAUUGUUCCAAGGAACAGCUGGUGGGUUCAAACCACUGAAGUUUUGGUUUGCAGCUGAGCACUUUAACCACUGUGCCACAAGGACUCCUUAUUCAGCUUGGAGUUCUUGGACUUGUAGAUACAUCUGCCUCCGUAGUGUCUGUCUUUACCCUAUUUCUGCUUGCUUCUGUGCUUAAUCUGCUCUGUUUACAUCUCAAAAGUGAUUAAGACAAACCCUACACUUAUUAACAAAGAAAAUCCCAUUCCCAAAUGGGAUUACUUCCACAGGUGUAUCGGUUGGAUUCCAAAAGUAUGAUAGAAAGUAUGAUAGAGUAGAAUACGAUGAUAUAAGUAUCUCUAAGUCAAGCUGGUCACAUUAGGAGGAACUUCCUGGAAGAGGCGAUACUGGGGUUAGUUCAGGGACAAGGAGAUGCUAGCCAGGGGAGUGAUGGGAAAAGGGUAUUUCAAGCAGAGGGAAGAAAAGGUGCACAGAGAUGUAAGAGAACAGUAAGUUCUCUUACCUCUCUUUCAAGUAAGAAAAGAGACUUCAAAGAACUCUCUGGAGUUUAAGGUUUGGGCAGGGUGGCAUGGCGGGAGAUGAGCCAGCAGAAGCCAGUCCCAGGAUGCAUCUAUAAGUCUUGCUAAAGAACUUGCAGUUUAUCUAGGAGAAAAAAGGAACUAUUGAAGUAUUUUAAGCAGGGGAAUGGACUAGUUAGAAUUGUGAUUUAAAAAGCAUUUUUAAAUAUAAUUAUAAUAGUAAAAUCUGUUGAUAUUUAUUGAGCACUUAUUAUGUGCCAGGCAUGUUUUAAGCACUUUUCUUGAUAUAACGCAUUUCAUUCUCACAACAGUCUUGCCUGAAGCCAAAUGGUAGCAGUAAGUGGGGCCAGGAUGCAAACCACGCCAGGCUGCCACCAGUGACCCUGCUCUCAGCCACUAAACUAUAAACAUAUCUUAUGUUAUUGGCGUACUAAUAUUAAUAUAAAUUCUCAUUGCUUAUCUUUUCCUUGUUGUUUUUCAAUUUUAAACCAAUUUUUACUCCCAGCAAUUCUCAUGCACGAAAGAGGUUUGACUGUGAAAAACUCUAGAUUUCAGUUAUCUUCAAUAAGGCCUAGGGGAUCCCAAAUUAGAAAGCAUGCACAGAAAAUUCUGUGCUGGCUGGACUUCUUUGUGUGAUGGUUGCACAGUCCCUCAGAGAAGAUAACUCUGCAAGACUCCAUCAGCCUGAGACCAGAAGAACUAGAUGGUGCCCAGCUACCACCAAUGACCACGGCGACAGGGAACACAACAGAGUCUCUGAUGGAGCAGGAGAAAAGCAGAGUGUAGAACUCAAAUUCAUGUGGAAAGGCCAGACUUAAUGGUUUGACUGAGACUAGAGGAAGCCCAGAAGACAUGGCCCCCAAACUCUCUGUUAACCCAGAACUAAAACCAUUCCCGAAGCCAACUCUUCAGACAAAGAUUAGACUGGACUAUAAAACACAAAAUGAUAUUUGUGAAGAGUGUGCUUCCUAGUUCAAGUAGAUACAGAAGACUCAAUGGCCGUUCCUGUCUGGAAGCAAGAUGAGAAGGUAGAAAGGGAUCGGAGCUGGUUGAAUGGACACAGGAAAUUCUGGGCGGAAAGAGGGAGUGUGCUGUCACAUUAU